UACAGAGGGUGCUAGCGUUGUUCGGAAUCAUUGGGCGUAAAGGGUGCGUAGGCGGGUCUUUAAGUCAGGGGUGAAAUCCUGGAGCUCAACUCCAGAACUGCCUUUGAUACUGAAGAUCUUGAGUUCGGGAGAGGUGAGUGGAACUGCGAGUGUAGAGGUGAAAUUCGUAGAUAUUCGCAAGAACACCAGUGGCGAAGGCGGCUCACUGGCCCGAUACUGACGCUGAGGCACGAAAGCGUGGGGAGCAAACAGG
rnacentral:rRNA from 1 species